rnacentral:rRNA from 1 species
UACGUAGGCAGCAAGCGUUGUUCGGAAUUACUGGGCGUAAAGAGUGUGUAGGCGGUGCUCUAAGUCUGUUGUGAAAUCCCUCGGCUCAACCGGGGAACUGCGUCUGAUACUGGGUGGCUUGAAUUCGGGAGAGGGAUGCGGAAUUCCAGGUGUAGCGGUGAAAUGCGUAGAUAUCGGGAGGAACACCUGUGGCGAAAGCGGCGCACUGGACCACAACUGACGCUGAGGCGCGAAAGCUAGGGGAGCAAACAGG